rnacentral:rRNA from 1 species
UAAAGCUACAAAGAGCUAAUGGGGGAUGCCUUGGUACUGACAGCCGACGAAGGACGUGUAAAGCUACGAAAAUCCACGGGGAACUGCUAAAAAGUCUUGAUCCGUGGGAAUCCGAAUGGGGAAACCCUCCAAAGUUAAAGCUUUGGAACCCGCAAAUGAAUCAAUAGUUUGCGCGGAGGAAAGCCUGUGAACUGAAACAUCUUAGUAACAGGACGAAGAGAAAAUAACCAAAUGAUUCCGAGAGUAGCGGCGAGCGAAAUUGGAAGAGCCUAAACCUUAGAUACGUGAUAGUCUGUAAGCGUUGUAUCUAGGGGGUUGUGGGACUUACAAGACAAGUUACAGCUUGUUAAAUCAGUUACAAAGUCAUUUAGUAGUUGAAUACAACUGGGAAGUUGAGCCAUAGAGUGUGAUAGCCACUUAAGCGAAAUUAAAUGACCUGAUAGUAAGCACCCGAGUAAGGCGGGGCACGUGAAACCCUGUCUGAAUCCACCGGGACCAUCCGGUAAGGCUAAAUACUAGUCAGUGACCGAUAGUGAACGAGUACAGUGAUGGAAAGGCGAAAAGAACAGUGAGAAGCUGAGUGAAAUAGACCCUAAAACCGUUAGCUUACAAUCAGUUAGAGCCCUAUUGAUAGGGUGAUAGCGUGCCUGUUGAAGAAUGAGCCGGCGAGUUAAUUUAUGUUGCGAGGUUAAGGAGUUAAUAUCUGGAGCCACAGCGAAAGCGAGUUUGAAAAGAGCGUUAAGUAACAUGAAUUAGACCCGAACCUUGGCGAUCUAACCUUGACCAGGAUGAAGCGUAGGUAACACUACGUGGAGGUCCGAACCAACCGAUGUUGAAAAAUCGGUGGAUGAGUUGAGGUUAGGGGUGAAAUGCCAAUCGAGCCAAGAGCUAGCUGGUUCUCCCCGAAAUGCGUUUAGGCACAGCGUUGGACUUAUCUUACAGGAGGUAGAGCACUAGUCUGGUGCGGGCGGCGAAAUGCCGUACCAAAUCAUGUUAAACUCCGAAUACCUGUAAAGUAACUAUCCAGCAGUGAGGCAGCGAGUGCUAAGAUCCGUUGCCAAGAGGGAAACAGCCCAGAACGCCAGUUAAGGUCCCAAAUAUAUGCUAAGUGGUUAAGGAGGUAGAGUUGCUUAGACAACCAGGAGGUUGGCUUAGAAGCAGCCAUUCCUUGAAAGAGUGCGUAAUAGCUCACUGGUCAAGCGACUCCGCGCCGAAAAUACACCGGGACUAAAGCAUAUAACCGAAACUGCGUCAUUGAGUUUACUCAAUGGGUAGGGGAGCGUUCUGUUGUAGGACGAAGUAAGAUCGAAAGGACUUAUGGACGAAGCAGAAGUGAGAAUGUCGGCAUAAGUAGCGAAAACAUUGGUGAGAAUCCAAUGCACCGAAAACCUAAGGUUUCCCACGGCAGGCUCGUCCGCGUGGGGUUAGUCGGAACCUAAGCUCAGGCCGAAAGGCGUAGGCGAUGGACAUCAGGUUGAUAUUCCUGAACUAUCGAUUAAUCGUUAUCAGAGGCGGAGGGACGCAGGAGGAUAGACAAGCAGCCGACUGGAAGUGGCUGUAAAGAUAUGUAGGUAGAGUUAGUAGGAAAAUCCGCUAAUUCGUUAAAAACUGAGGUAUCGAGUAGGACUCUCUACGGAGGGGAAGUUGUUGAAUCCACACUGCCAAGAAAAGCUUCGCACUUGAGAUUAAUAGGUAUCCGUACCGGAAACCGCCACAGGUAGGUUGGUAGAGAAUACUAAGGUGCGCGAGAUAACUCUCGCUAAGGAACUCGGCAAAAUCACCUCGUAACUUCGGGAGAAGAGGUACCCUGGUAGAGUGAAGCGGUUCACCCGUGGAGCUUGAUAGGGUCGCAGUGAAUAGGCCCAUGCGACUGUUUACCAAAAACACAGGUCUCUGCAAAGUCGAUCAAGACGAUGUAUAGGGGCUGACGCCUGCCCGGUGUCGGAAGGUUACGUGGACGUGUUAGACUUAGGUCGAAGCACCGAAACUAAGCCCCGAUGAACGGCGGCCGUAACUAUAACGGUCCUAAGGUAGCGAAAUUCCUUGUCAGGUA